UUGACUAAAGGAUUGAAACCCAUAAUCUUUGUUUGGCCGUAUUACCGGCUGUAUAGCCAGAUGAAUAAGCUGGCCAUCAAAAUCUUAAUCUCAUUCGAUGUGCUUACCGAUCCAAAUCGGCCCUUAUCCACAUCAAAAUCUCAAAUCCCCUUGUUUGUUUUAUAACCGGAUAUGUAUCUUGAUGGCCAUUAUACAUAUCAAUUCCCUAAAUCCUUUUUGCUUGAUUUUUAUCAAUCCCCUAAACUCUAAGCAAUAAUCGGCUGAACCCCUAAAUCCAAAUCCGGCCAUGAUUUUUUU
rnacentral:lncRNA from 1 species